rnacentral:rRNA from 1 species
CCUACGGGUGGCAGCAGUGGGGAAUAUUGGGCAAUGGGCGCAAGCCUGACCCAGCAACGCCGCGUGAAGGAAGAAGGCUUUCGGGUUGUAAACUUCUUUUGUCAGGGACGAAGCAAGUGACGGUACCUGACGAAUAAGCCACGGCUAACUACGUGCCAGCAGCCGCGGUAAUACGUAGGUGGCAAGCGUUAUCCGGAUUUAUUGGGUGUAAAGGGCGUGUAGGCGGGAAUGCAAGUCAGAUGUGAAAACUAUGGGCUCAACCCAUGGCCUGCAUUUGAAACUGUAUGUCUUGAGUGGUGGAGAGGCAAGCGGAAGUCCGGGUGUAGCGGUGAAAUGCGUAGAGAUACGGAGGAACACCAGUGGCGAAGGCGGAUUGCUGGACAGUAACUGACGCUGAGGCGCGAAAGCGUGGGGAGCAAACAGGAUUAGAUACCCGAGUAGUC